rnacentral:rRNA from 1 species
UUGCCUUCAGUAACGGCGAGUGAAGCGGCAAGAGCUCAAAUUUGAAAUCUGGCCCCUCCGGGGUCCGAGUUGUAAUUUGCAGAGGAUGCUUCGGGUGCGGCCCCUGUCUAAGUGCCCUGGAACGGGCCGUCAGAGAGGGUGAGAAUCCCGUCUUGGGCAGGGUGCCCGUGCCCGUGUGAAGCUCCUUCGACGAGUCGAGUUGUUUGGGAAUGCAGCUCUAAAUGGGUGGUAAAUUUCAUCUAAAGCUAAAUACCGGCCGGAGACCGAUAGCGCACAAGUAGAGUGAUCGAAAGAUGAAAAGCACUUUGAAAAGAGAGUUAAACAGCACGUGAAAUUGUUGAAAGGGAAGCGCUUGCGACCAGACUCGGCCCUGGGGUUCAGCCAGCACUCGUGCUGGUGUACUUCCCCAGGGGCGGGCCAGCGUCGGUUUGGGCGGCCGGUCAAAGGCCCCAGGAAUGUAUCACCCUCCGGGGUUGUCUUAUAGCCUGGGGUGCAAUGCGGCCAGCCCGGACCGAGGAACGCGCUUCGGCACGGACGCUGGCGUAAUGGUCGCAAACGACCCGUCUUGAAACACGGACCAAGGAGUCUAACAUCUACGCGAGUGUUCGGGUGUCAAACCCGUACGCGCAGUGAAAGCGAACGGAGGUGGGAGCCCCCCCGGGGCGCACCAUCGACCGAUCCUGAUGUCUUCGGAUGGAUUUGAGUAAGAGCGUAGCUGUGGGGACCCGAAAGAUGGUGAACUAUGCCUGAAUAGGGCGAAGCCAGAGGAAACUCUGGUGGAGGCUCGCAGCGGUUCUGACGUGCAAAUCGAUCGUCAAAUUUGGGUAUAGGGGCGAAAGACUAAUCGAACCAUCUGGUAGCUGGUUCCUGCCGAAGUUUCCCUCAGGAUAGCAGUAACGCGGAUCAGUUUUAUGAGGUAAAGCGAAUGAUUAGAGGCAUUGGGGUUGAAACAACCUUAACCUAUUCUCAAACUUUAAAUAUGUAAGAAAGCCCU